CUAAGUUUGAUGGCGACCGGCGCACGGGUGAGUAACACGUAUCCAACCAGCCGAUGACUCGGGGAUAGCCUUUCGAAAGAAAGAUUAAUACCCGAUGGCAUAGUUCUUCCGCAUGGUGGAACUAUUAAAGAAUUUCGGUCAUCGAUGGGGAUGCGUUCCAUUAGGUUGUUGGCGGGGUAACGGCCCACCAAGCCUUCGAUGGAUAGGGGUUCUGAGAGGAAGGUCCCCCACAUUGGAACUGAGACACGGUCCAAACUCCUACGGGAGGCAGCAUG
rnacentral:rRNA from 1 species